UGGGGAAUAUUGGACAAUGGGCGGAAGCCUGAUCCAGCAAUACCGCGUGUGUGAAGAAGGCCUUAGGGUUGUAAAGCACUUUCAAUAGGGAGGAAAAAGGUAAGCUUAAUACGUUUGCCCUUGACAUUACCUAUACAAGAAGCACCGGCUAACUCCGUGCCAGCAGCCGCGGUAAUACGGAGGGUGCAAGCGUUAAUCGGAAUUACUGGGCGUAAAGCGUGCGUAGGCGGCCUGUUAAGCCAGAUGUGAAAGCCCCGGGCUCAACCUGGGAACUGCAUUUGAAACUGGCAAGCUAGAGUUGGGUAGAGGGGAGUGGAAUUUCAGGUGUAGCGGUGAAAUGCGUAGAUAUCUGAAGGAACACCAGUGGCGAAGGCGACUCCCUGGACUCAAACUGACGCUGAGGCACGAAAGCGUGGGUAGCAAACAGGAUUAGAUACCCCCGUAGUCCCUGAGCGGGCUGGCAAGGCGCAU
rnacentral:rRNA from 1 species